UGCAAAAAACAACAACAACAACAAAAAAUUUUAUUAGAAAAAGAAAAUAUUAAAUGUUUUUCAUUACAGUUUAUCAAACUUUGUGUGUUUGCAGAGGAAUAUUAUCACAUAAAAAAGACCUGGAUUGUUUUUGCCACAACUAUCCUUUUUAGUAAAAUUCUGCAUUUCAUACUUUAUGUAGAGAAAAGUUGGCUCACCAAAAAUAGAAAAAUAUUUAUUUUAUGUUCUCACCACAGGUGGUGCUUCGAGCCUAAUGGCUCUUCAUCAGACAAUGAACACAAGAGCUGCAUCCGAAAUCACAUACUUCCCUACUAUAGAGUAGGUAAAAAACAGUGUGAGACAAAAGAAGUGUGUCUGAAUUCACAGUACUCAUAAAACAGUAUCAAAACGUACCCGGAUGACCUUCUACUUCUGGCGAGAUUCUGAAGUUUGCAUAUGAUGGACACUUUACUAUCCCAUGAGGCCACGGGAGAGGAUAUAUGAAUGGCAGUGAAGUAAUGUAACUGGUGCUGGUAGGUCACAUGAUAAUGACAACAUGGCGAAUGUUUUAUGUCCAGAUUACAUUCAUACUAUAUAGAACAUAUAUAGAGCGGCUGUGAAGUAAUUACUUAUUCAAAAUAAUUACCUACUCAAUAGAGUAUGUGAUUUUGGACGCAGCCAUACACUGAUAAGCCCUUAUACACACAAACCUAGAUCACAUGAUCCCACAUGACAAAAAAAAAGGGCAACAAACAAAUCACAUAACUAGAAUAAAAGUGAAAACAUCAAUUAACUGAAAACAAACAUAUACAUAUCAAGAAAUACCUGACUGCAAAAAAAUAUGAAUCAAUCAAAAAAUUUCAAUCAGAAAAUGGCAAGAAAACGAAAGAAAAUACCAACAACAUAACGAACAUAAUGCAAUAAAUCCACACAUACUGAUCAAUAACAUAAUUAAAGAAAAGGCCGAAUAUCAAAUUCUUCAGUGAGACCAUUAGGUUAUAAUGUAUUCAAAGUGUAAAUCCGUUUUAAAAUCUUUUUUUAUAUAUAUCACCCCCUCUUCCAGGUAGUUUAACAGCUUCAAUGCCAACGUACUGCAAAGUUGAAAUCUAAUGUCUCAA